rnacentral:tRNA from 1 species
GCGGAGUUGCUGGAAUUGGCAGACAGGCAUGACUAAGGAUCAUGUGGCAACAGCCGUGAGAGUUCAAGUCUCUUACUCCGCA